GACGAACGCUGGCGGCGUGCUUAACACAUGCAAGUCGAACGAUGAACCCGGAGCUUGCUCCGGCGGAUUAGUGGCGAACGGGUGAGUAACACGUGAGUAACCUGCCCUUGACUCUGGGAUAACUGCUAGAAAUGGUAGCUAAUACCGGAUACGACCCUCGGCGGCAUCGCCAGGGGGUGGAAAGAAUUUCGGUCAAGGAUGGACUCGCGGCCUAUCAGCUAGUUGGUGAGGUAACGGCUCACCAAGGCGACGACGGGUAGCCGGCAUGAGAGGGUGACCGGCCACACUGGGACUGAGACACGGCCCAGACUCCUACGGGAGGCAGCAGUGGGGAAUAUUGCACAAUGGGCGCAAGCCUGAUGCAGCAACGCCGCGUGAGGGAUGACGGCCUUCGGGUUGUAAACCUCUUUCAGCACCGACGAAGCGCAAGUGACGGUAGGUGCAGAAGAAGGACCGGCCAACUACGUGCCAGCAGCCGCGGUAA
rnacentral:rRNA from 1 species